rnacentral:rRNA from 1 species
AUGGAUAUUCCUUUGGAUUUGAAAGACUUUCUCAAGCUCAUUUGGAAGCAAAAAAGUUUGCUCCCUCGUGUUCAAACUUUUGCUUGGAGACUUCUUCGUAGGGCUUUGCCUACGGGCAUGAGAGCUGGCCGCUUCUCUGUUCACAUCUCUCCAUCUUGUUGUAGAUGCGGACAGCAGGAGGAUGAAUUUCACCUCUUUUUUCUCUGCGACUUUGCGAGAGCAGCUUGGUUUUCUUCGCCUUGGUUUAUUCGAGCGGAUGUUCUUACUCAAGGGCACUCUUCUAUGCAUUCCAUUCUCAUCUUUCUUAUUAAUAUGAGUCACCCUCAUGCUUCUAUUCAGAAUGUUCUUAAUUUUUUAUGGUGCCUGUGGAAAGCUCGAAAUGAUUUUCUUUUUGAUAGGAAAAAUCAUCAUCCUCAUCAGCAUUUCGACCGUCCAAAAUCCCAGGACUCGCUCGAGGACAUGUGGGCACAGGUAUAG